UACGUAGGGGGCAAGCGUUGUCCGGAUUUACUGGGCGUAAAGAGCGUGUAGGCGGCCACGCAGGUCCGUUGUGAAAACUGGAGGCUCAACCUCCAGACGUCGACGGAAACCGUAUGGCUAGAGUCCGGAAGAGGAGAGUGGAAUUCCUGGUAUAGCGGUGAAAUGCGCAGAUAUCAGGAAGAACACCAAUGGCGAAGGCAGCUCUCUGGGACGGUACUGACGCUGAGACGCGAAAGCGUGGGGAGCAAACAGG
rnacentral:rRNA from 1 species